rnacentral:tRNA from 1 species
GCCUGGCUGGCUCAGUUGGUGGAGCAUGUGACUCUUGAUCUUGGGGUUGUGAGUUCAAGCCCCAUGCUGGGUA